AUUCCAGCUCCAAUAGCGUAUAUUAAAGUUGUUGCAGUUAAAAAGCUCGUAGUUGGAUUUCUGGCAGGAGCGACCGGUCACACACUCUGUGUGUGAACUUGCGUUGUCUCUGGCCAUCCUCGGGGAGAUCCUGUUUGGCAUUAAGUUGUCGGGCAGGGGAUACCCGUCGUUUACUGUGAAAAAUUAGAGUGUUUAAAGCAGGCUUAUGCCGUUGAAUAUAUUAGCAUGGAAUAAUAAGAUAGGACUUCGGAACUAUUUUGUUGGUUUGCGUUACGAAGUAAUGAUUAAUAGGGACAGUUGGGGGUAUUCGUAUUUCGUUGUCAGAGGUGAAAUUCUUGGAUUUCCGAAAGACGAACUACUGCGAAGGCAUCUACCAAGGAUGUUUUCAUUA
rnacentral:rRNA from 1 species